AUUAGGGAUAGGAAGAGAUUUUCACAUGGCAGACUUUAGAAUUCUUCACUUUAGCCAGUAAAGUAUCUCCUUUUGAUCUUAGUAUUCUGUGUAUUUUAACUUUUCUGAGUUGUGCAUGUUUAUAAGAAAAAUCAGCACAAAGGGUUUAAGUUAAAGCCUUUUUACUGAAAUUUGAAAGAAACAGAAGAAAAUAUCAAAGUUCUUUGUAUUUUGAGAGGAUUAAAUAUGAUUUACAAAAGUUACAUGGAGGGCUCUCUAAAACAUUAAAUUAAUUAUUUUUUGUUGAAAAGUCUUACUUUAGGCAUCAUUUUAUUCCUCAGCAACUAGCUGUGAAGCCUUUACUGUGCUGUAUGCCAGUCACUCUGCUAGAUUGUGGAGAUUACCAGUGUUCCCGUCUUCUCCGAGCUUAGAGUUGGAUGGGGAAUAAAGACAGGUAAACAGAUAGCUACAAUAUUGUACUGUGAAUGCUUAUGCUGGAGGAAGUACAGGGAACUAUUGGAGCACCUAAGAGGAGCACCUACCUUGAAUUUAGGGGUUAGCAGAGGCAUCCUGAAAAAAGUCAAAGCUAAGCCACAAUCUAUAAGCAGUUUAGGAAUUAGCAGAACGUGCGUGGUGAGGAGAUGCCAAAGGCAAGAAGAGAAGAGUAUUCCAAACAGGAGGGAUUCCAAAGAGAGAAGAGUAUCCCAAACAACAUUUGCACAAACCUGAUGGGGAGAGAGAAUGUGGGGUGGGGAUGGAUGAUGAGACUGAAGAAGAAAGCCAGGUCUAGAUAAUCAGUGGCCUUGUACACCAUGUUAAAGAGUGUAGACUUGAUUCUGUUGUAAACAGGAAAGCAGCACAAUUCAUAUGAAUAUUUUAGAAGACUCCCACUGGAAUAUGGAGAAUAAAGUUGGAGAUGACUAAUCCUGGAAGCAGGGAGAACAUUUUUGAGGAAGUUGCACUAUUUUGGUGAAAAUGAUGAUCAUAAACAUGAAGAAUUGUAGGUGAUCAUGACCUCCUCUCUAAUUUUCCAGAAGGGUUUUGGAAGAUAUAACAUAGGAACAUUGACAGGACUGACGAAAGGAGAUGAAAUACACCAUAUAAAUUGUCAAACACAAGGCCAGAUGUCUAAUUAUUUUGCUUAUGUGUUGAAAUUACAAAUUUUUCAUCAGGAAACCAAAAACUACAAAACUUAGUUUUCCCAAGUCCCAGAAUUCUAUCUGUCCAAACAAUCUGUACCACUCCACCUAUAUCCCUACCUUUGCAUGUCUGUCCAACCUCAAAGUCCAGGUCUAUACACACGGGUAAGACUAGAGCAGUUCAAGUUUCAGAAAAUGAGAAAGAGGAACUGAGUUGUGCUGAACCCAUACAAAAUAAACACAUUCUUUGUAUAGAUUCUUGGAACCUCGAGAGGAAUUCACCUAACUCAUAGGUAUUUGAUGGUAUGAAUCCAUGGCUGGGCUCGGCUUUUAAAAAGCCUUAUCUGGGAUUCCUUCUAUGGAACCAAGUUCCAUCAAAGCCCAUUUAAAAGCCUACAUUAAAAACAAAAUUCUUGCUGCAUUGUAUACAAAUAAUGAUGUCAUGAUCAAAUAAUCAGAUGCCAUUAUCAAGUGGAAUUACAAAAUGGUAUACCCACUCCAAAAAAAAAAAAAAAGCUAAAUUCUCAGUAGAACAUUGUGACUUCAUGAGCCCUCCACAGCCUUGGAGCUGAGGAGGGAGCACUGGUGAGCAGUAGGUUGAAGAGAAAACUUGGCGCUUAAUAAUCUAUCCAUGUUUUUUCAUCUAAAAGAGCCUUCUUUUUGGAUUACCUUAUUCAAUUUCCAUCAAGGAAAUUGUUAGUUCCACUAACCAGACAGCAGCUGGGAAGGCAGAAGCUUACUGUAUGUACAUGGUAGCUGUGGGAAGGAGGUUUCUUUCUCCAGGUCCUCACUGGCCAUACACCAGUCCCUUGUUAGUUAUGCCUGGUCAUAGACCCCCGUUGCUAUCAUCUCAUAUUUAAGUCUUUGGCUUGUGAAUUUAUCUAUUCUUUCAGCUUCAGCACUGCAGAGUGCUGGGACUUUGCUAACUUCCAUUUCUUGCUGGCUUAGCACAUUCCUCAUAGGCCCAGCUCUUUUCUCAUCUGGCCCUGCUGUGGAGUCACCUUGCCCCUUCAGGAGAGCCAUGGCUUACCACUGCCUGCUAAGCCUCCACUCAGCUGCCACCACACUAAAUCCAAGCUUCUCUAAGAUGUUGCAGACUUUACAGGCAAGCAUAAAAGGCUUGAUCUUCCUGGACUUCCCUUUACUUGUCUGAAUCUCACCUCCUUCAACUUUCAGUCUCAGAAUGUAGGCAUUUGUCCUCUUUGCCCUACAUCUUCCUUCUUCUGAAUCAUGAAAGCCUCUCACUUCCUCUUGCUAUGUGCUGGAGGCUUCUGUCAGGUUUUAGAAUGAGUUCUCAUCUAGUCCUAGUAGCUUUUGAUGCUUAAGUCCACCUUUUAAGGAUACCUUUGAGAUUUAGACCAUGUUUUUCGCUUGAGAAAGCCCUAAUCUCCAGACUUGCCUUUCUGUGGAUUUCAAAGACCAACUGAGGAAGUCAAAAGCUGAAUGUUGACUUUCUUUGAACAUUUCCGCUAUAACAAUUCCAAUUCUCCUCAGAGCAAUAUGCCUGCCUCCAACUGACCAGGAGAAAGGUCCAGUGCCAAAGAGAAAAACACAAAGAUUAAUUAUUUCAGUUGAGCACAUACUUUCAAAGUGGUUUGGGUAUUCAUAUGAGGUUUUCUGUCAAGAGGGUGAGACUCUUCAUCUAUCCAUGUGUGCCUGACAGUUCUCCUGGCACUGGCUGGUAACAGAUGCAAAACUGUAAAAAUUAAGUGAUCAUGUAUUUUAACGAUAUCAUCACAUACUUAUUUUCUAUGUAAUGUUUUAAAUUUCCCCUAACAUACUUUGACUGUUUUGCACAUGGUAGAUAUUCACAUUUUUUUGUGUUGAAGUUGAUGCAAUCUUCAAAGUUAUCUACCCCGUUGCUUAUUAGUAAAACUAGUGUUAAUACUUGGCAAGAGAUGCAGGGAAUCUUUCUCAUGACUCACGCCCUAUUUAGUUAUUAAUGCUACUACCCUAUUUUGAGUAAGUAGUAGGUCCCUAAGUACAUUGUCCAGAGUUAUACUUUUAAAGAUAUUUAGCCCCAUAUACUUCUUGAAUCUAAAGUCAUACACCUUGCUCCUCAUUUCUGAGUGGGAAAGACAUUUGAGAGUAUGUUGACAAUUGUUCUGAAGGUUUUUGCCAAGAAGGUGAAACUGUCCUUUCAUCUGUGUAUGCCUGGGGCUGGGUCCCUGGCAGUGAUGGGGUGACAAUGCAAAGCUGUAAAAACUAGGUGCUAGUGGGCACCUAAUAUCAUCAUCAUAUACUUAUUUUCAAGCUAAUAUGCAAAAUCCCAUCUCUGUUUUUAAACUAAGUGUAGAUUUCAGAGAAAAUAUUUUGUGGUUCACAUAAGAAAACAGUCUACUCAGCUUGACAAGUGUUUUAUGUUAAAUUGGCUGGUGGUUUGAAAUGAAUCAUCUUCACAUAAUGUUUUCUUUAAAAAUAUUGUGAAUUUAACUCUAAUUCUUGUUAUUCUGUGUGAUAAUAAAGAAUAAACUAAUUUCUAUA
rnacentral:lncRNA from 10 species